rnacentral:rRNA from 1 species
AUAAGCGGAGGAAAAGAAACCAACAGGGAUUGCCCUAGUAACGGCGAGUGAAGCGGCAACAGCUCAAAUUUGAAAUCUGGCUCCUUCGGGGUCCGAGUUGUAAUUUGUAGAGGGUGCUUUGGUGUUGGCUGUGGUCCAAGUUCCCUGGAACAGGACGUCGCAGAGGGUGAGAACCCCGUACGUGGCCGCCAGUCUUCGCCGUGUAAAGCCCCUUCGAAGAGUCGAGUUGUUUGGGAAUGCAGCUCUAAAUGGGAGGUAAAUUCCUUCUAAAGCUAAAUAUUGGCCAGAGACCGAUAGCGCACAAGUAGAGUGAUCGAAAGAUGAAAAGCACUUUGGAAAGAGAGUGAAAUAGCACGUGAAAUUGUUGAAAGGGAAGCGCUUGGAGCCAGACGUGCCCGUAGUUGCUCAGCCGGGGUUCUCCCCGGUGCACUCUUCUGCGGGCAGGCCAGCAUCAGUUUGGGCGGUUGGAUAAAAACCUGCUAAACGUACCUCCCUCCGGGGAGGACUUAUAGGGUAGGCGGCAUACAACCAGCCCGGACUGAGGACCGCGCAUCUGCUAGGAUGCUGGCGUAAUGGCUGUAAGCGGCCCGUCUUGAAACACGGACCAAGGAGUCUAACAUCUAUGCGAGUGUUUGGGUGUCAAGCCCGAGCGCGCAAUGAAAGUGAACGCAGGUGGGAGCCCCUCGGGGUGCACCAUCGACCGAUCCUGAUGUCUUCGGAAGGAUUUGAGUAAGAGCAUAGCUGUUGGGACCCGAAAGAUGGUGAACUAUGCCUGAAUAGGGUGAAGCCAGAGGAAACUCUGGUGGAGGCUCGCAGCGGUUCUGACGUGCAAAUCGAUCGUCAAAUUUGGGCAUAGGGGCGAAAGACUAAUCGAACUAUCUAGUAGCUGGUUCCUGCCGAAGUUUCCCUCAGGAUAGCAGUAACGUUUUCAGUUUUAUGAGGUAAAGCGAAUGAUUAGAGGCAUGGGGGUUGAAACAACCUUCACCUAUUCUCAAACUUUAAAUAUGUAAGAAGUCC